GAAAUGCCUCCAUGAGAUCCAGCUGUAAGGCAUUUUCUCAAUUAGUGAGCAAUGGGAGAGCACCCAGCCUGUUGUGGGUAGUACCAUCUCUGGGCUGGUGGUCCUG
rnacentral:miRNA from 1 species